rnacentral:misc_RNA from 1 species
GAUGAAGAACGUAGCGAAAUGCGAUAAGUAAUGUGAAUUGCAGAAUUCAGUGAAUCAUCGAAUCUUUGAACGCACAUUGCGCCCUCUGGUAUUCCGGGGGGCAUGCCUGUCCGAGCGUCAUUUGCAACCCUCAAGCCCGGCUUGUGUGAUGGGUGCCGUCCCCUACGGGACGCGCCCCGAAGGCAAUGGCGGCGUCGCGGUUAUCCGAUCAGCCAAAGUGUAUGGGGCUUUGUCACUCACUUUACGGCCCGGUCCGGCGCCAGUCCGAAUCAAUCUUUUUUCUAAAGUUGACCUCGGAUCAGGUAGGGAUACCCGCUGAACUUAAGCAUAUCAAUAAGCGGAGGA